UAUAAACCACUGCACAGUAAAUUGCAUUUGAAUGACAGCACUGGAUCAUGAUGGACCACAGCCCCACUAGUGUUUGAAUGUUGUAAUAACAUUAGUCGAUCCAGCUGCAGGGCGGUAGUGAGGAAGGGGAGACUGAGGAGAAAAGUCGAGUGCACCUCAUGCCUCGGCAUCAUCUUGAAGCUGAGUUGGCUUUGACGUGCCUUCCGAACUUGCUUUGGGAUUUCAACAUGUGACGGACUCUGCAGAAGGAGGAACCACCUAGAAUGCCAGCUAUUAAGAAGGUGUUGUUGCCAGGCAUUUUUCAGAAGCAUUGCUGUAUCUUCCCAAACAGGAAUGCGGUUUGAAAGAGCCCGCUAUGAUGCGACGAGUUAUCGCAAGCCUUGGGAUGAUCAUGGAUGAAAGUGAAGAAAAGAAAGAAAUAUUCAGGUGCGAUUGCAUGCAGCUUCCAUCCUGUAAAUAAAACCUCGAUUGCUGUCGAGAUCUGAUACAAUUUGUCUAUGCAUUGCUUUGCUCAUUUAUUUGAAUUUGGGUUGUAUUAUCAUCGUAUCAACA